AUAUCUCUCUGUACCGGAAGGAUGAGAAGCUUCGACUAAGGUUCGAUUCGAGCGCAGCGAGAAAGCGUUGCCGCAGGCAACGACCCGAAGGGCGAAGCGCGCAGCGCUGAGUCAUCCUUCCCCCACCACCA
rnacentral:sRNA from 1 species